UACGUAGGUGGCAAGCGUUGUCCGGAAUUAUUGGGCGUAAAGAGCUCGUAGGCGGUUUGUCGCGUCGAAUGUGAAAUCCCGGGGCUCAACCCCGGGCCUGCAUUCGAUACGGGCAGACUAGAGUUCGGUAGGGGAGUCUGGAAUUCCUGGUGUAGCGGUGAAAUGCGCAGAUAUCAGGAGGAACACCGGUGGCGAAGGCGGGUCUCUGGGCAACAACUGACGCUGAGGAGCGAAAGCGUGGGGAGCGAACAGG
rnacentral:rRNA from 1 species